rnacentral:rRNA from 1 species
UUGAAAUCUGGCCCUAGCGGUCCGAGUUGUAAUUUGUAGAGGAUGCUUUUGGUUAGGUGCCUUCUGAGUUCCCUGGAACGGGACGCCAGAGAGGGUGAGAGCCCCGUACGGUUGGACACCGAGCCUCUAUAUAGCUCCUUCGACGAGUCGAGUAGUUUGGGAAUGCUGCUCUAAAUGGGAGGUAAAUUUCUUCUAAAGCUAAAUACCGGCCAGAGACCGAUAGCGCACAAGUAGAGUGAUCGAAAGAUGAAAAGUACUUUGAAAAGAGGGUUAAAUAGCACGUGAAAUUGUUGAAAGGGAAGCGUUUGCGACCAGACUUUUUCCAGGCGGAUCAUCCGGUGUUCUCACCGGUGCACUUCGCCUGGUUUAGGCCAGCAUCGGUUCUCUUAGGGGGAUAAAGGCCUGGGGAACGUAGCUCCUUCGGGAGUGUUAUAGCCCCUAGCGUAAUACCCUUCGGGGGA